GGUUAAGCGACUAAGCGUACACGGUGGAUGCCCUGGCAGUCAGAGGCGAUGAAGGACGUGCUAAUCUGCGAUAAGCGUCGGUAAGGUGAUAUGAACCGUUAUAACCGGCGAUUUCCGAAUGGGGAAACCCAGUGUGAUUCGUCACACUAUCAUUAACUGAAUCCAUAGGUUAAUGAGGCGAACCGGGGGAACUGAAACAUCUAAGUACCCCGAGGAAAAGAAAUCAACCGAGAUUCCCCCAGUAGCGGCGAGCGAACGGGGAGCAGCCCAGAGCCUGAAUCAGUGUGUGUGUUAGUGGAAGCGUCUGGAAAGGCGCGCGAUACAGGGUGACAGCCCCGUACACAAAAAUGCACAUGCUGUGAGCUCGAUGAGUAGGGCGGGACACGUGGUAUCCUGUCUGAAUAUGGGGGGACCAUCCUCCAAGGCUAAAUACUCCUGACUGACCGAUAGUGAACCAGUACCGUGAGGGAAAGGCGAAAAGAACCCCGGCGAGGGGAGUGAAAAAGAACCUGAAACCGUGUACGUACAAGCAGUGGGAGCACAGAGCAAUCUGUGUGACUGCGUACCUUUUGUAUAAUGGGUCAGCGACUUAUAUUCUGUAGCAAGGUUAACCGAAUAGGGGAGCCGAAGGGAAACCGAGUCUUAACUGGGCGUUAAGUUGCAGGGUAUAGACCCGAAACCCGGUGAUCUAGCCAUGGGCAGGUUGAAGGUUGGGUAACACUAACUGGAGGACCGAACCGACUAAUGUUGAAAAAUUAGCGGAUGACUUGUGGCUGGGGGUGAAAGGCCAAUCAAACCGGGAGAUAGCUGGUUCUCCCCGAAAGCUAUUUAGGUAGCGCCUCGUGAAUUCAUCUCCGGGGGUAGAGCACUGUUUCGGCAAGGGGGUCAUCCCGACUUACCAACCCGAUGCAAACUGCGAAUACCGGAGAAUGUUAUCACGGGAGACACACGGCGGGUGCUAACGUCCGUCGUGAAGAGGGAAACAACCCAGACCGCCAGCUAAGGUCCCAAAGUCAUGGUUAAGUGGGAAACGAUGUGGGAAGGCCCAGACAGCCAGGAUGUUGGCUUAGAAGCAGCCAUCAUUUAAAGAAAGCGUAAUAGCUCACUGGUCGAGUCGGCCUGCGCGGAAGAUGUAACGGGGCUAAACCAUGCACCGAAGCUGCGGCAGCGACGCUUAUGCGUUGUUGGGUAGGGGAGCGUUCUGUAAGCCUGCGAAGGUGUGCUGUGAGGCAUGCUGGAGGUAUCAGAAGUGCGAAUGCUGACAUAAGUAACGAUAAAGCGGGUGAAAAGCCCGCUCGCCGGAAGACCAAGGGUUCCUGUCCAACGUUAAUCGGGGCAGGGUGAGUCGACCCCUAAGGCGAGGCCGAAAGGCGUAGUCGAUGGGAAACAGGUUAAUAUUCCUGUACUUGGUGUUACUGCGAAGGGGGGACGGAGAAGGCUAUGUUGGCCGGGCGACGGUUGUCCCGGUUUAAGCGUGUAGGCUGGUUUUCCAGGCAAAUCCGGAAAAUCAAGGCUGAGGCGUGAUGACGAGGCACUACGGUGCUGAAGCAACAAAUGCCCUGCUUCCAGGAAAAGCCUCUAAGCAUCAGGUAACAUCAAAUCGUACCCCAAACCGACACAGGUGGUCAGGUAGAGAAUACCAAGGCGCUUGAGAGAACUCGGGUGAAGGAACUAGGCAAAAUGGUGCCGUAACUUCGGGAGAAGGCACGCUGAUAUGUAGGUGAAGUCCCUCGCGGAUGGAGCUGAAAUCAGUCGAAGAUACCAGCUGGCUGCAACUGUUUAUUAAAAACACAGCACUGUGCAAACACGAAAGUGGACGUAUACGGUGUGACGCCUGCCCGGUGCCGGAAGGUUAAUUGAUGGGGUCAGCGCAAGCGAAGCUCUUGAUCGAAGCCCCGGUAAACGGCGGCCGUAACUAUAACGGUCCUAAGGUAGCGAAAUUCCUUGUCGGGUAAGUUCCGACCUGCACGAAUGGCGUAAUGAUGGCCAGGCUGUCUCCACCCGAGACUCAGUGAAAUUGAACUCGCUGUGAAGAUGCAGUGUACCCGCGGCAAGACGGAAAGACCCCGUGAACCUUUACUAUAGCUUGACACUGAACAUUGAGCCUUGAUGUGUAGGAUAGGUGGGAGGCUUUGAAGUGUGGACGCCAGUCUGCAUGGAGCCGACCUUGAAAUACCACCCUUUAAUGUUUGAUGUUCUAACGUGGACCCGUAAUCCGGGUUGCGGACAGUGUCUGGUGGGUAGUUUGACUGGGGCGGUCUCCUCCUAAAGAGUAACGGAGGAGCACGAAGGUUGGCUAAUCCUGGUCGGACAUCAGGAGGUUAGUGCAAUGGCAUAAGCCAGCUUGACUGCGAGCGUGACGGCGCGAGCAGGUGCGAAAGCAGGUCAUAGUGAUCCGGUGGUUCUGAAUGGAAGGGCCAUCGCUCAACGGAUAAAAGGUACUCCGGGGAUAACAGGCUGAUACCGCCCAAGAGUUCAUAUCGACGGCGGUGUUUGGCACCUCGAUGUCGGCUCAUCACAUCCUGGGGCUGAAGUAGGUCCCAAGGGUAUGGCUGUUCGCCAUUUAAAGUGGUACGCGAGCUGGGUUUAGAACGUCGUGAGACAGUUCGGUCCCUAUCUGCCGUGGGCGCUGGAGAAUUGAGGGGGGCUGCUCCUAGUACGAGAGGACCGGAGUGGACGCAUCACUGGUGUUCGGGUUGUCAUGCCAAUGGCACUGCCCGGUAGCUAAAUGCGGAAGAGAUAAGUGCUGAAAGCAUCUAAGCACGAAACUUGCCCCGAGAUGAGUUCUCCCUGACUCCUUGAGAGUCCUGAAGGAACGUUGAAGACGACGACGUUGAUAGGCCGGGUGUGUAAGCGCAGCGAUGCGUUGAGCUAACCGGUACUAAUGAACCGUGAGGCUUAACCUUACAACGCCGAAGCUGUUUUG
rnacentral:rRNA from 1 species